rnacentral:tRNA from 1 species
AGAGAGGUGCCUGAGUGGUUUAAAGGGCCCGCCUGGAAAGCUGGUAUAGAGGUAACUCUAUCGGGGGUUCGAAUCCCUUCCUCUCUG